GGCUCAACCCGCCACCAGGCCUGCUUGGGAGCCGUGCACCCCACACUGUGAGGUUUGCACAUUGAUCCCCCAACUCAUUGAGGGAGGGCCUGAUGGUGUCGGUUUCCCACCACUUCCUGCUCAGGCUGCACUGGAGGCCCCAGCGGGUCCUGGAGGCGGGACCCUACCCGUGCCAGGGCUGCCCAGCUGCAGUUGAAUCAGAGCGAGCUGCGGGCAUGGGGCCUGGGGCACUCUACGUGGCUGCUGGAGUCUGAGUCACCACGCAGGCCACUGUGAGCGGAGGAUUAUGGGGGAAGAGACACACCCGGAGAUCUGGGUUAGCUGACCCCGCCCUUCCUGCUUAUGCCCGUGGAGCUUGGUGUCGUUGGAGGCUGGCAUUCUGGGCGGCUCAGCCUUCCCACCCACCACUCUCUUCUGCCCCCGGCCCCCGGUAUUAGGUGUGCCAGUAGCUGGCACAAGAGCCACGAGCCCUGCUCCCACAGCUGACUUCUGCCACCGGGGAGGAGGGCGGCCCCCUGGUGGAGCAGGUGGAGGGAGGCCGUGUGGGGCCCUCCUGCACGGCGGUCAUUCCUGCCCCUGCCUUCUGUCCGCAUCCGGCAGGGACCCAGGUGAGGGACCCAGGGAGGUUUGGGCAUGGAAAGGCCUCUUGGGGGAUAACCUCAGCUUGAAAGGAGAGGGCGAGAAUCCAGCCUGUCAGAAAGCCAAGAAAGAAGCAACUGAGCUAAAAAUAGGAGCAUUGAACAGAAUGUCCGGAAAUGCCAUCCACAGUGCCAGAUUCUUCCAGCUGGGGAGUGGCGGAUUCCUCCGACUUUCAGCGUACUUCAUCAAAGGUACCACGCCAAUAAGGAGGGGAAAAACAGUGCUAGUAGCAAUCAUCGUCAUGGCAAG